AGAGUUUGAUCCUGGCUCAGAACGAACGCUGGCGGCGUGGAUUAGGCAUGCAAGUCGAACGCGAACGGGCCUUCGGGUCCUAGUAGAGUGGCACAAGGGUGAGUAAUGCGUGGACAACCUGCCCCCGAGACCGGAAUAACGGCGGGAAACUGCCGGUAAUGCCGGAUGGCCCUGCGGAGAGGCAUCUCUCUGUAGGUAAAUGGUAGGCUUCGGCCUUCCGCUCGAGGAGGGGUCCACGUCCUAUCAGCUUGUUGGUGAGGUAAUGGCUCACCAAGGCAUCGACGGGUAGGCGGGCUGAGAGGCUGACCGCCCACACUGGGACUGAGACACUGCCCAGACUCCUACGGGAGGCUGCAGUCGAGAAUCUUCCGCAAUGGACGCAAGUCUGACGGAGCGACGCCGCGUGCGGGAUGAAGGUCUUUGGAUUGUAAACCGCUGUCAGGUGUUAUGAAUGCGCGUGGGUUAAUAGCCUGUCGCGUUGACGAAGGCACCAAAGGAAGUCACGGCUAACUCUGUGCCAGCAGCCGCGGUAAUACAGAGGUGGCAAGCGUUGUUCGGUAUCACUGGGCUUAAAGGGCGCGUAGGCGGCAUGGUACGGUUCGGGUGAAAUCCCACGGCUCAACCGUGGAACGGCCUGAGCAACGGCCAUGCUAGACGGCAUCAGGGGGAGGUGGAACUCCGGGUGGAGCGGUGAAAUGCGUAGAUAUCCGGAGGAACGCCGGUGGCGAAAGCGACCUCCUGGGGUGAUCGUGACGCUGAGGCGCGAAAGCUAGGGGAGCGAACGGGAUUAGAUACCCCGGUAGUCCUAGCCCUAAACGAUGUGCACUAGGUAGUGGGAGCCUCCGAGUUCCCGCUGCCGGAGCAAAAGUUUUAAGUGCACCGCCUGGGGACUACGGUCGCAAGGCUAAAACUCAAAGGAAUUGACGG
rnacentral:rRNA from 1 species